rnacentral:rRNA from 1 species
UACGAAGGGGGCUAGCGUUGUUCGGAAUUACUGGGCGUAAAGGGCGCGUAGGCUGUGCUGUAAGUCAGGCGUGAAAGGCCCGGGCUCAACCUGGGAAUGGCAUUGGAAACUGGCGACCUAGAGUGCGGUAGAGGGUAGUGGAAUUCCCGGUGUAGCAGUGAAAUGCGUAGAGAUCGGGAGGAACAUCUGUGGCGAAGGCGACUGCCUGGACCAGCACUGACACUGAGGCACGAAAGCGUGGGGAGCAAACAGG